CCGACGGUGAGGGAUGAAAGCUGGGGGAGCAAACCGGAUUAGAUACCCGGGUAGUCCCAGCUGUAAACGAUGCAAACUCGAUGAUGCGUUGGCUUGUUGCUAGCGCAGUGUCGCAGGGAAGCCGUUAAGUUUGCCGCCUGGGAAGUACGUACGCAAGUAUGAAACUUAAAGGAAUUGGCGGGGGAGCACCACAAGGGGUGAAGCCUGCGGUUCAAUUGGAGUCAACGCCAGAAAUCUUACCCGGAGAGACAGCAGAAUGAAGGUCAAGCUGAAGACUUUACCAGACAAGCUGAGAGGUGGUGCAUGGCCGUCGCCAGCUCGUGCCGUGAGAUGUCCUGUUAAGUCAGGUAACGAGCGAGAUCCCUGCCUCUAGUUGCCACCAUUACUCUCAGGAGUAGUGGGGCGAAUUAGCGGGACCGCCGCAGUUAAUGCGGAGGAAGGAAGGGGCCACGGCAGGUCAGUAUGCCCCGAAACUCUGGGGCCACACGCGGGCUGCAAUGGUAACGACAAUUGGUUUCGAAUCCGAAAGGAUGAGGUAAUCCUCAAACGUUACCACAGUUAUGACUGAGGGCUGCAACUCGCCCUCACGAAUAUGGAAUCCCUAGUAACUGCGUGUCAUUAUCGCGCGGUGAAUACGUCCCUGCUCCUUGCACACACCGCCCGU
rnacentral:rRNA from 1 species